GAUGCUGUCUUGCGUUCUGGAUUAGAAAAAGGUUCAAAUCUAACCAUAUGGCACUACCAGCAAUAAAGUUUUUCCCUCUUUCCCACCAACGCACCUGUGUCUAGUAUGUUCAACUGUUAUUGCCUUUAGAUUUGAUAAUAUGUAGGAUAUCAUUUAGCAUAAUAGUGUCAUAAUCUGAUCUACCCAGAUAAGGAUUACAGAA
rnacentral:lncRNA from 1 species